rnacentral:rRNA from 1 species
GGGUUGUGAGGUUAAGCGACUAAGCGUACACGGUGGAUGCCCUGGCUGUCAGAGGCGAUGAAGGACGUGCUAAUCUGCGAUAAGCGUCGGUAAGGUGAUAUGAACCGUUAUAACCGGCGAUUUCCGAAUGGGGAAACCCAGUGUGAUUCGUCACACUAUCAUUAACUGAAUCCAUAGGUUAAUGAGGCGAACCGGGGGAACUGAAACAUCUAAGUACCCCGAGGAAAAGAAAUCAACCGAGAUUCCCCCAGUAGCGGCGAGCGAACGGGGAGCAG